CCGGGGACCCACCCCGUCGGCCCGACUAUUUGCAUAACGGAGGCCGCCGCUUCCCCCGCCCCUCCGCCGCGCUCUUCCCCCUCCCUCGCGGGCCCCUCCACCCUCCGCCCCGGCCCCCCCCGUCCCAGCAGCCCCUCCCGCCGGACCCGGCGCCCGGCUCGCAGCUGCCCGGCUCCCCUGCGGCCGCGGGGCGCGAGUCGGGCGGCACCUGGGGGAGGGGAGCGCGGGGCCGGGCCGGGCUGGCGAGGACGCCUGGGGCACUGCCCGGCGCUAACAAAAGGAGCGGCCGCCGGCCGGCGAGGGCGAGGGCGCGGAGCGGGCGGAGCGGCCGCAGCGGGUGAGUCGGGUGCGCAGGGCGGCCGCGGGGCCCGGGCCGGGCGGGGCGGGCGGCGGGGCGCGGGAGGGGAGGCGGGCGGCGGGAGGGGCGCGAGAGGGGCGCGGGCGGGGAGGGGAGCGGAGCCCGGGACGCGGGGAGGCGCGGGGUGGCGGGGCGCGGGGCGCGGGAGGGAGCGGGGCGCGGAGGGGAGCGGGGCCCGGGGCGCGGGGUGGGGCGCGGCGUGGCGGGGCGCGGGGCGCGGGGCGCGGGAGGGGAGCGGAGCCCUGGGCGCGGGGAGGCGCGGGGAGGCGCGGGGUGGCGGGGCGCGGGGCGCGCCCGGGGCGCUCGGAGCCGGUGCCCAGCGCCGCCUGAGCGGUCUCGCUGGCGGGCCGGGGUGUGCGUGCGUGUGCGCGCGUGUGUGUCCCGGCCGGGGACCGCCCUGCUUCCCCCCGGCUCCGCCAGCCUGCGGACCCACAACAAACCCACGUGCGCUCGGCCCCCGGGAGCCCCGCUUCUCCGCCGCGCCCCGGGUCAGGUGUGGGACGCCUCGCAGACUCCGCCCCCCGCGGCUUCCGGCUCUGGCCUUACAGACCGGGAAACUGAGGCCUGCGGCGGGGGCGGGGGCGGGGGCUCAGGCGCCACAAGUCGCACGUGCGCCCAGGCCGGGGACCCCCCGGGGGUCCCCCUGCGAGGGCCGCCCUGCGGAGCCCGGGGCAGCGAGCCGCGCUGGGGGCGCCGCUUGCGGGAGGGCCGCGGAGACACCGGAGAGGCGCCCUCGGCCCUCCAAAGAAAGGGGAAGCGAAACGCGAAAGCAGUUACGGAAAGCUCACCCCAGGCCAAGACCUGCCCCGGCCGCGACGCGUCCCUUGAUGUGA
rnacentral:lncRNA from 1 species